UUGUGCCUGGUUCGGGGUGUCCCUGUUUCAAGGUGUCCCUGGUUUGGGGUGUCCCCUGUUCGGGGUGCAGGGUGGGCUCUGGGUGUCCCUGGUUCGGGAUGGCCCCGCAUCGGGGUGUUCCCGGUUCGGGGUGUCACCGUUCCGGGGUGCAGGGUGGGGGGGCUCUGCGCGCUGCGGGGUGGGGGCACGAGGGGUCCGGGUAUCUCCGGUUCGGGGUCCGGGGGGGACUCUGCGCGCUCCGGGGUGGGGGCGCGCUCCCCUCGUUCCGCCGGGAGGGGGCGCCCCCGGCCCGCGCGGAGCCGCCGUCGGGGGGUCCCGGGGGGGCCGCACCGGAGCCGGUGCCCGCUGACCCCCCCUGCCCAGCCGUGCCCAGCCCCGAGAGCGCCGGGCGAUGCCUGAAGCUGCGCGUCACCGUCUGCUGCCGAGGCACCACGCCAGAGCCGGUGACAGAGGUGCCGAAUUCGCAGCCCCGAGGGCGCGGGGGCCCCGAAGAUGUGGCUCCUGCCCGGGGCACCGCGGUCCCAUGGCAGCCCUGCAGCCCUUGCCUGACUCUCGUGCUCCUGGCCCUGCUCUGGAUCUGACCCCGGCGCUGCCCCUGCCGGGGGGAUGGGCUCCUCUGCCCCAAGGCCGCUUCCAGACUCUUCCUCCCAGCCAAACCCCCGAGCCCGUGGGGCAGCCCCAGGCCAUGACCCGCCUGCUGGACCUCCGCAAAGCCGAGCUGGGGCCGGGAGCUCCGGGCUGGAAGGGCCAUCGCAUCGUCGCACGCCGGGAUUGCCGAGAGUCCCCGCGCUGGGAUUGCCACAUCCCGGCACUGCCCCACCGGCCACCGGCUCGGCGCUGGGGUCCCCUCAGCGAACGCCUGCUCUGCCCCACGGCCACCACCUCAUGUCGUGCCUUUCCCCACGGACCCCCUCCCCUGGGGCCCAGGGACCCCCGAGCCCGGAGCGGGGCAGCAGCUCCGAUGGCGGCAUCGGCCGCUCUGCCGUGUCCUCCUGCGGCGAGGACACGCUGAUCUGUCUUCUGGGAAGACGCCUUCCUCCGUGCCCUCGGUUUGGUUUUAACCCUUGGUAGUGACUGAGCAAUACAAUAUUUGCAAGAUCGCUGCGCCCCGGCUGUGCAGCCCCCGCCGUGCCCCUGCCCGUGCCCCCCGACCCUGCAGGAGUGCCAGGGUGGCUCCUCCAGGGUGUUCCCUCCAGGGUGUCCCCUCCAGGGUGUCCCUGCCCCUCGCUCCCUGCACAGCCCUCAUGGCCUUAAUUGCAGCAGUUUGAUAUUGAGUCGUCAGCUCCUGUCACCGGAGAGCUUUAAUUACAGACGAGCUGCUGGCAAUUAACCCCUGGUGGUGGGAUGAGCGCGGGGACAGGGGGUGCGGGCGCAGUGGGCUUGGGAGUCACUCACCCAAAGCCCCCAGCCAGCACCCUGGUUCCUUUGGCCACCUUUGGGUGUGGUUGGGGUGCCCCCAGCUCUCUGUCCAUCUCUCCAUCUGCUGUGCACCCCAUAAGAUGCCCAAAAUAGGGGGUGUGAGGAGAGCUGCAGGGUUUCCCCUUUCCCGAGUGGAAGGGGGAUCAGUGGGGGCUCAUCCCAUGGCACAACCGGGUCCCUGUCAGAACCAUGGCUCUGCCACAUGCCCCAGCCUUGCCAAUUGGCAGGCGACUUCCCUGAUGCUCUCAGUCCCCCAUCCCACGAGUGCAGCCCCCCACUCACCCUCCUGAGGGGCCCAAAACCCCCCGGGGCCGCCUGCAGCAGGGCCCCACCAGCCCCUGGCCGUGCAGGCGUUGCCGGCCGCCUGCCGCAGUGGUGCCGGGCACGUCAGACAG
rnacentral:lncRNA from 1 species